UAGGGAAUCUUCCACAAUGGACGCAAGUCUGAUGGAGCAACGCCGCGUGAGUGAAGAAGGUUUUCGGACCGUAAAGCUCUGUUGUUGGUGAAGAAGGAUAGAGGUAGUAACUGGCCUUUAUUUGACGGUAAUCAACCAGAAAGUCACGGCUAACUACGUGCCAGCAGCCGCGGUAAUACGUAGGUGGCAAGCGUUGUCCGGAUUUAUUGGGCGUAAAGCGAGCGCAGGCGGAAGAAUAAGUCUGAUGUGAAAGCCCUCGGCUUAACCGAGGAAUUGCAUCGGAAACUGUUUUCUUGAGUGCAGAAGAGGAGAGUAGAACUCCAUGUGUAGCGGUGGAAUGCGUAGAUAUAUGGAAGAAUACCAGUGGCGAAGGCGGCUCUCUGGUCUGCAACUGACGCUGAGGCUCGAAAGCAUGGGUAGCGGACAGGAUUAGAUACCCUGGCAGUCCAUGCCGUAAACGAUGAGUGCUAAGUGUUGGGAGGCUUCCGCCUCUCAGUGCUGCAGCUAACGCAUUAAGCACUCCGCCUGGGGGAGUACGACCGCAAGGUUGAAAC
rnacentral:rRNA from 1 species